rnacentral:lncRNA from 1 species
AAAUUAUUUUAGGCAUGGGAUCAAAGAAGAAACUUCUUUGUAGCAGCAUCCCAGUACUAGGACUUUUUGUCUCUGCAUGGAAAUCUGAAUAUAUUUAUAUGUUGGAGUGACAUCUCUACAGGAAGCCUAGAGACCUAACUGUUUGCUACAUGUCACCAAAGUUAAAGUGGCUACCUUAAUGAGCAGCCAGGAUGCCAUCAUCUCCGACCUGAAUGACAAUAACCUCCAAACCAGCCUUUGUAUACUCCUUCCUGCUGCUCUGCAGUCCACUUCCACAGACCAGCCAACUGAAUCUCCUUAUAGAUUCAUAAUGGCCAUCAGCACAAAGAUGUUUUAUCUGCAGUCAACCAGUCAUGUUUCAUGAUGGCAUCAAAAUAUUUGACAGUUUGGUCUACAUUUCAAGGCUGGUUAGAUGGGAGGUAUGUCCUGGUAUAUUAGUUAAUUUAGGUAUAUCUUACUGAUUUACAUUGCAUGAUUUAUCAGAUGCUAUUGACUCAUUCAAGUAAAUACAUUUAAAAAUUAUACCUUUUGCUCAUACUAGUAAUUGGGUCAGUCAUGCUCUUGAAGGAGGCAUACUGGGAGCCAUACAUUACCAGAGGCAGAGGAUUCAAUGGAUGUUUUCUGUUUUCUCUUCUUCGUGCUCUGUAAUUGAGACACAGAACAAAGGAGGAAGACUAAGUGCUCUGCCUUAACUCAGGCCAGGCUGUGGGCGCAAGUGCACCAACGGCUUUGAGACUAACACACAGCUCAGAACAAGGAGGUGAAAAUCUGACAGCUCAAAAUGAAGCAAAAACCCAAGAUUAAAACAGACACCAUUUUGUGCCCACUCAGUCUUCUUUCCAGGGUCAUACAUGUGUUUAUAACCGCACUUCUACAUUCUAUUAUGAGGGCAAGAGUUGUGGCUGCUAUAUAAAUGCUUCCUAGCAUAGUUCCUGACAACUAGGUGAUUCAUGAAUAUUUGCUGAAGAAAUAAAAAUAACUUUAUGAA